UACGUAGGGUGCGAGCGUUUGUCCGGAAUUAUUGGGCGUAAAGAGCUUGUAGGCGGUUUGUCGCGUCUGCUGUGAAAGUCCGGGGCUCAACUCCGGAUCUGCGGUGGGUACGGGCAGACUAGAGUGAUGUAGGGGAGACUGGAAUUCUGGUGUAGCGGUGAAAUGCGCAGAUAUCAGGAGGAACACCGAUGGCGAAGGCAGGUCUCUGGGCAUUAACUGACGCUGAGGAGCGAAAGCAUGGGGAGCGAACAGG
rnacentral:rRNA from 1 species